AUGCAACCGCGCAAGCACAAGAACAAGGUUAAUCCAACCAAGAGGAAGGAUGUCCCCAAGACACCUUGGUUCCUAACUGCGUCUGGGCAAUCUAUUCACCAUCAACUUGAAGCUGCUGCAAGUGGUACUGCUACUCCAACAAAUACGACCAACUCGUCUUCCACAUUUGACGAUUCAAGUGAGUGCUGCCAUCUAUCCCCUGAGGUUAUCCGAUUCUUGACCACAGACUUGGUAUCGGAACACAUCAAGGCUGAAGCAAAAAUGUAUGUUAUGCCAACUAAGAACAAGCAGAGUGUUUCAUAUACAGAUGAUCCUUAUGUGUCUCGGUUAAGGAAUAUAAAUGAAACCAUUGAAACUAAUCAGAGAACCAAUGUCGAAGAUAAAGAUGUCAGUGCACCGCAGCAGUAUCAACCGUCUUCUUCGCGCAAAGAAUAUGAUAGCAUUAUAAUAUUAUCUUCAGAUGAGGAAGAUCCUAAUGCUUAG
rnacentral:rRNA from 1 species